rnacentral:rRNA from 1 species
AGAGUUUGAUCCUGGCUCAGAAUGAACGUUGGCGGCGUGGAUUAGGCAUGCAAGUCGUGCGAGAAACUUUUUUUGCUUGCAUUAGAAGUGGACAGCGGCGCAAGGGAGAGUAACGCGUAGAUACCUACCCCCAGAUCCGGGAUAGCGGCGGGAAACUGCCGGUAAUACCGGAUAAUGUCCCCGGACCAAAGGUGUGAUUCCGUCUAGGGAUGGGUCUGCGUCCUAUUAGCUUGUUGGUGAGGUAAUGGCUCACCAAGGCCGAGAUGGGUAGCGGGUGUGAGAGCAUGGCCCGCCUCACUGGGACUGAGACACUGCCCAGACACCUACGGGUGGCUGCAGUCGAGAAUCUUCCGCAAUGGGCGAAAGCCUGACGGAGCGACGCCGCGUGCGGGAUGAAGGCCUUCGGGUUGUAAACCGCUGUCAGAGGGGAACAAAUCCAUGAGGGCUAUCCCUGAUGGUUGAGUGAUCCUCAGAGGAAGCGCAGGCUAAGUUCGUGCCAGCAGCCGCGGUAACACGAACUGCGCGAACGUUAUUCGGAUUUACUGGGCUUAAAGAGUUCGUAGGCGGCUUUGCAGGUGGGGUGUGAAAUCCCCCGGCUCAACCGGGGAACUGCGCUCCAAACCGCAGGGCUUGAGGGAGAUAGAGGUGAGCGGAACUCACGGUGGAGCGGUGAAAUGCGUUGAUAUCGUGAGGAACACCGGUGGCGAAAGCGGCUCACUGGGUCUCUUCUGACGCUGAGGAACGAAAGCUAGGGGAGCGAACGGGAUUAGAUACCCCGGUAGUCCUAGCUGUAAACGAUGAGCACUAGAUCAAGGGGACUUCCACAUCUUCUUGGUCGUAGCGAAAGUGUUAAGUGCUCC